AGUGCCCUGUGUCUUUCUUCUCCAUGGAAGCUUAGGGUUUCUUUUCUUUUUCCUCUCAUUUUCACUCAUUUUGCCACCAAAAGCCAUGAUGCUAUACAUGAAUCUUUAAGGAAAAAAGCUAGUGAAUCCAUUCCAUCACUCCAGUUGGGCUGAUUUGGCUUGUGGAGAGAGUUAUUCAUCACCUCCAAUUCGUGGCACUAUUCAUCCUUGUGAAAAAGUGGGGCUUUUGAGUGAGCAAAGCUUAGAUUUUGUUCUUUGGAGCUUGGAAUAGCAACUAUAGGUGUGCUUAGCGACUGAGAGGGUUUGAAUUGCGUUUGGAGCUAAAUAGGUAACUUGUGUUACAAGUGAGCAGAUUGGUAAAGCUCCAAGAGGAACACAGUUAAUUGAAGAGCCUUAUGGGACAAGGACACAAACCGUGGCUAGAGGUACUAGUAUGAGGAUGUGGAGUUCUGGGUGGCUGGAGGCUACUAUUUAUUUUAGACGUAUUUUUGGAAAAGAUGUAUUGUUGUAUAGUGUUCAUAUUCGAUGCAUGUACAUUUAUGUAUUCAGGCAUGUUGAUAUGACUAUGUAGUAUU